rnacentral:rRNA from 1 species
GACGAACGCUGGCGGCGUGCUUAACACAUGCAAGUCGAGCGGUAAGGCCCUUCGGGGUACACGAGCGGCGAACGGGUGAGUAACACGUGGGUAACCUGCCCUGUACUCUGGGAUAAGCCCGGGAAACUGGGUCUAAUACCGGAUACGACCACUUGACGCAUGUCUGGUGGUGGAAAGUUCCGGCGGUAUGGGAUGGACCCGCGGCCUAUCAGCUUGUUGGUGGGGUAAUGGCCUACCAAGGCGACGACGGGUAGCCGGCCUGAGAGGGUGACCGGCCACACUGGGACUGAGACACGGCCCAGACUCCUACGGGAGGCAGCAGUGGGGAAUAUUGCACAAUGGGCGAAAGCCUGAUGCAGCGACGCCGCGUGAGGGAUGACGGCCUUCGGGUUGUAAACCUCUUUCAGCAGGGACGAAGCGUGAGUGACGGUACCUGCAGAAGAAGCACCGGCUAACUACGUGCCAGCCGCCGCGGUAACAC